AUUCAUCUCGAGCCAUAACUUUCUUGUCAUAUGAACACAACCUUAGAUUUGAAAAAUUGUUAAUCGAAACAUACGACCCACAAGAGGAUAGGGCUUCCUCGAAGGCAGAGACAAUGUCAUCGUUGUGGAUCUUAGGGAGAACCUACUCCUUCCUGUUCCAGAUUCUGGAGUCGUAGGGCCAGGUGGUCUUGUCGAUGCGAGAGUAGAAAAGCGAUCACCAAUACUUGUCGUGGUAGUGGUCUUUAUGAUGUUCUCCAUUUGAAUCAUGAGCGUGAAGGGCGCUCCAAUGGGGCUGGCCCUAACGCGUUUAAAGGGGAUUCAAUUGGUGGUCUGUGAAGUGAGAAGAUCAUACCUGGUGGGACGUUUGCCUUGUAUAUAUUGCUUUGCAGGCAUGUCCAUAUCGGGAUCUUGCUCUCCAAGCAUGUGGGUUUGAACACAACUAAGGACGUUCAGAAGAGAACUUUGCUUGCCAGGUUCUUCCAAACAAGCGUGGUUGCUUGGAAGGUAUUGCUCUUCGUUUAGGCAAUUUCAACUUUGGUGGCAGAUUUUUUUUUCCCGUUUUUAUCACCUUCUAGAGAGGUUAGAUUAUUUUUUUGUCACUAUCAAAUGUUUUGAUUUGACUAAUUUAUUUUUAGUGUUGUAUGGAUGGACUUAGAGCACCUUUUCCUGCGUUAGCAAAUGUAAGUUUUGGAGUUUGAACGAUUUUUUCUUUGAAACUUGUAAUGAGAAGUUCAACUUCAUGCAUAGUAUAAUAUCAUUUUAUGUGUAUUGAUAUGCACCAGAUUCAUGGUUAUCCCUGCUCUGACUUCUAUGUCAUAUGAUCCCACACAUAUGUCUCCAAUAUAAAAUAUUUGCUAGUCUCGAGGAACAUGAAAUAAUCCUAAUGUAUGUGCUUACAUCUUAUUUUUUCUUUUUCAUACAAAGUUAAAUAAAGUUAAAUGCUACACUAGAUAGCGAGAAGAGAAGGAUUUACUAACCUCUGCUGACAAAAAAUAUUUGUCUACAACUUGUUAGCAAUACAACGGUUGCAAUUGUGGCUGCAUCAAGUAUGUUUGUUUAUAAUUUCCCGCAAUAUCAACAAUGGUGAUGAGACUACACACGACUAUAAUUUAAAACCUCGUGCCUAUGAGAUCCAUUAUGAGUAUUUGAUGCAUAGUUAACCAUGCAGGAGGAACUUGAUGGUUGUAAUGAAUACAACAAUUUCCAGCAUGGCUCAAUUAACACUACUCUGCAGCUUAUCUAGGACUGGGAAAACAUUGACCUUGUUUUCCAUAUUGGAGAUAUUUGCUAUGCAAAUGGUUACCUUUCUCAAUGGGAUCGAUUUUCAGCACAGUGGGAACCAUGAGCAAGAUCCUUUUAAGAGCUGUAUCUUUCACUUUGAGAUAUAGGACUCAUUCACAAAGUUGUACGAAGAAAUAGCAAGCGGUUAGUGGAGUUGCUUUUGAGAUAUGUUCUUGAGAAUGUUUCAGAUGAACUAGGACCUGAAGUCAAGACUCUAGUUGACAGAGAGAAGAAGACCUUUUUGUUUAGUUAGUGAUGUUUAGACAAUGACAUUUAAUAUUGUCUAUUUUGUGUUUAAAUAUAUCAAUCAUUGAGCA